UCAAGCCGUAUGAAGGGAAAUUCUCAUGUACGGUUUUCAGAGGGGGAAUUUAAGUUUACCUAUCUCAAU
rfam:Picea glauca, whole genome shotgun sequence.